AUUGAACGCUGGCGGCAGGCUUAACACAUGCAAGUCGAGCGGAGAUGAGGUGCUUGCACCUUAUCUUAGCGGCGGACGGGUGAGUAAUGCUUAGGAAUCUGCCUAUUAGUGGGGGACAACAUUCCGAAAGGAAUGCUAAUACCGCAUACGUCCUAAGGGAGAAAGCAGGGGAUCUUCGGACCUUGCGCUAAUAGAUGAGCCUAAGUCGGAUUAGCUAGUUGGUGGGGUAAAGGCCUACCAAGGCGACGAUCUGUAGCGGGUCUGAGAGGAUAAUCCGCCACACUGGGACUGAGACACGGCCCAGACUCCUACGGGGGCAGCAGUGGGGAAUAUUGGACAAUGGGGGGAACCCUGAUCCAGCCAUGCCGCGUGUGUGAAGAAGGCCUUAUGGUUGUAAAGCACUUUAAGCGAGGAGGAGGCUACUGAGACUAAUACUCUUGGAUAGUGGACGUUACUCGCAGAAUAAGCACCGGCUAACUCUGUGCCAGCCGCCGCCGUAA
rnacentral:rRNA from 1 species